UGGUCUCAACCGUCCAGCCUCCGGAGCUGCGGGAAGGAAGCGUCUGUCGGGGAAGCCGCCUGGUAUUGUGCCACAGCAGCCUGGACGCGCCGAGCCGGGGCCCGAGACGGCCAGAGGAAGGAGUCUGUACCAGGACACCUACGCGGCCAUGCACAGGGACUCAGGCCACCACGUGGGGGGAAGCGAGCCCUGUGCUCCGAACAUUAAACUCCCGCUCUCUGUCUUAAAUCCACCCAGAAAGAGUGACCUCCAUGUGUGGCCGGAGGCCGUGUACCAUGGGUGUUGCCGAAGGGCACCUCGCCAUUGUAGGAAGAACCCCAAGAGUGGUUGUAACCUCCACACUGGUUACAGAUCAGCUGGAUCUGCAUGAGACAGUGAGGGGCCCUCCCCCUGGGCCAGGGCCAUGGGCGUAGCUCCCCCAGGAGGAGCAAUGGGGGAGCAGUCUUUUUAAACACAACCACCACCACCAUUUUAUUUA